CGCAGCGCAGUGCAGUGCGGUGUGUUGCAGCCAGUGGACGUGUCGUUCCGUCUCGCGCAGUCUCGAGAAAUUCUCCUCCGCGAAGUUUUCACUGUCGACACUCGGCCGCAAAGCUCGCCGAAUCUCGCGGUUCAUUCCUCCUACAAGUGCUUUAAACUCAGGAUUUUCCGAAUUUUGAACACAGGAUUCCCGGUUUGUCUUGCUGAGCUUUGAAAGUUCGUGCGAUACCCAUUUUUGGGGACCCACGUGACUCUGGAUUCGUUUGUUCGUUUCACGUUUCAAGUUCUGUGUUUACGUACGAUCUAAGUCGUCUGGUUUUGUUUGUGUUCUUGUUGCUGUUGUGCAUUUUACGAUCGAGGAAUAUAUUUUGUGUGUUUCGAGUUUCAUGGUUGCGUUGGAUUAUUCUGCUCUCUUCGGUUUCUCAGGAUAAUACAGAUUCUGGUGAGAUGUUCAGAUGAGGAAGGUGGCAUCGAUGAGCUAGGUAUUCAUCGCGGGCCAAAACACCUCCGGAAAAAUAGGCAAAAUCAACCUAAUUUCGCCCAAAAUGCUCAACACAAAUGAAAAUAAUACAGAGUCCGGUGGAGGAGGGGGCGGAGGGACGACGGGGGUGCCGGG